AUUGAACGCUGGCGGCAUGCCUAACACAUGCAAGUCGAGCGGACGAAGGGAGCUCGCUCCUGGAUGCAGCUGCCGACGGGUGAGUAAGGCCUAGGAAUCUGCCCUGCCUUUGGGGAUAACGUCCGGUAAGGGGACCUAAUAUCGCAUACGUUAUUAUGUUGAACGGCGUGGAUCUUCGGUCCUCACGCUACUAGAUGACCCUAAGUCGGAUUAGCUAGUUGGUGUGGUAAAGGCCUACCAAGGCGACGAUCCGUAACUGGUCUGAGAGGCUGAUCAGUCACACUGGAACUGAGACACGGUCCAGACUCCUACGGGAGGCAGCAGUAGGGAAUCUUCGACAAUGGGCGAAAGCCUGAUCGAGCCACGCCGCGUGUGUGAAGAAGGUCUUCGGAUUGUAAAACUCUGUUAGUUGGGAAGAAGAGAAGUAUGUGAAUAUCUGGAUGUUUUGACGUUACCAACAGAGUAAGCAACGGCUAACUUCGUG
rnacentral:rRNA from 1 species